UACGAAGGGGACUAGCGUUGUUCGGAAUUACUGGGCGUAAAGCGUGCGCAGGCGGCUUUGCAAGACAGAUGUGAAAUCCCCGGGCUUAACCUGGGAACUGCAUUUGUGACUGCAUGGCUGGAGUGCGGCAGAGGGGGAUGGAAUUCCGCGUGUAGCAGUGAAAUGCGUAGAUAUCGGGAGGAACACCAGUGGCGAAGGCGACUACCUGGCCUGUUCUUGACGCUGAGGCGCGAAAGCUAGGGGAGCAAACAGG
rnacentral:rRNA from 1 species